rnacentral:rRNA from 1 species
UUAAGCGACUAAGCGUACACGGUGGAUGCCUAGGCAAUCAGAGGCGAUGAAGGACGUGCUAAUCUGCGAUAAGCGUCGGUAAGGUGAUAUGAACCGUUACAACCGACGAUUUCCGAAUGGGGAAACCCAGUGCAAUUCGUUGCACUAUCGUUUGAUGAAUACAUAGUCAAACGAAGCGAACCGGGGGAACUGAAACAUCUCAGUACCCCGAGGAAAAGAAAUCAACCGAGAUUCCCCUAGUAGCGGCGAGCGAACGGGGAGCAGCCCAGAGUCUUAAUCAGCAUUAGCAUCAGGAGAACGGUCUGGAAAGUCCGGCAGUAAAGGGUGAUAGCCCCGUAUCCGAAGGUGUUAGUGUUGUGAACUCGACGAGUAGGGCGGGACACGUGUUAUCCUGUCUGAAUAUGGGGGGACCAUCCUCCAAGGCUAAAUACUCCUGAUUGACCGAUAGUGAACCAGUACCGUGAGGGAAAGGCGAAAAGAACCCCGGCGAGGGGAGUGAAAUAGAACCUGAAACCGUGUACGUACAAGCAGUGGGAGCCUUGAUUUAUCAGGGUGACUGCGUACCUUUUGUAUAAUGGGUCAGCGACUUAUAUUCUGUAGCAAGGUUAACCGUAUAGGGGAGCCGUAGGGAAACCGAGUCUUAACUGGGCGAAUAAGUUGCAGGGUAUAGACCCGAAACCCGGUGAUCUAGCCAUGGGCAGGUUGAAGGUUGGGUAACACUAACUGGAGGACCGAACCGACUAAUGUUGAAAAAUUAGCGGAUGACUUGUGGCUGGGGGUGAAAGGCCAAUCAAACCGGGAGAUAGCUGGUUCUCCCCGAAAGCUAUUUAGGUAGCGCCUCGUGAACUCAUCUUCGGGGGUAGAGCACUGUUUCGACUAGGGGGUCAUCCCGACUUACCAACUCGAUGCAAACUACGAAUACCGAAGAAUGUUAUCACGGGAGACACACGGCGGGUGCUAACGUUCGUCGUGAAGAGGGAAACAACCCAGACCGCCAGCUAAGGUCCCAAAGUCAUAGUUAAGUGGGAAACGAAGUGGGAAGGCUCAGACAGCCAGGAUGUUGGCUUAGAAGCAGCCAUCAUUUAAAGAAAGCGUAAUAGCUCACUGGUCGAGUCGGCCUGCGCGGAAGAUGUAACGGGGCUAAACUAUGCACCGAAGCUGCGGCAGCGAUAUUUAGAUAUUGUUGGGUAGGGGAGCGUUCUGUAAGCCUGUGAAGGUGUGCUGUGAGGCAUGCUGGAGGUAUCAGAAGUGCGAAUGCUGACAUAAGUAACGAUAAUGCGGGUGAAAAACCCGCACGCCGGAAGACCAAGGGUUCCUGUCCAACGUUAAUCGGGGCAGGGUGAGUCGACCCCUAAGGCGAGGCAGAAAUGCGUAGUCGAUGGGAAACGGGUUAAUAUUCCCGUACUGGUGAUAAUUGCGAUGGGGGGACGGAGAAGGCUAGGCUAUCCGGGCGACGGUUGUCCCGGUUUAAGGAUGUAGGCAGGUGAAUUAGGCAAAUCCGGUUCACUAUAUGCUGAGGUCCGAUGACGAGUCACUACGGUGAUGAAGUAGCUCAUGCCCCGCUUCCAGGAAAAGCCUCUAAGCUCUAGAUUAUCAUUAAUCGUACCCCAAACCGACACAGGUGGUCAGGUAGAGAAUACUCAGGCGCUUGAGAGAACUCGGGUGAAGGAACUAGGCAAAAUGGUGCCGUAACUUCGGGAGAAGGCACGCUGGCAUUAGGUGAAGUGAUUUACUCAUGGAGCUGAAGCCAGUCGCAGAUACCAGCUGGCUGCAACUGUUUAUUAAAAACACAGCACUGUGCAAACACGAAAGUGGACGUAUACGGUGUGACGCCUGCCCGGUGCUGGAAGGUUAAUUGAUGGGGUUAUCCGUAAGGAGAAGCUCUUGAUCGAAGCCCCAGUAAACGGCGGCCGUAACUAUAACGGUCCUAAGGUAGCGAAAUUCCUUGUCGGGUAAGUUCCGACCUGCACGAAUGGCGUAAUGAUGGCCAGGCUGUCUCCACCCGAGACUCAGUGAAAUUGAACUCGCUGUGAAGAUGCAGUGUACCCGCGGCAAGACGGAAAGACCCCGUGAACCUUUACUAUAGCUUGACACUGAACAUUGAGCCUUGAUGUGUAGGAUAGGUGGGAGGCUUCGAAGCGUGGACGCCAGUCUGCGUGGAGCCAACCUUGAAAUACCACCCUUUAAUGUUUGAUGUUCUAACGUUGCCCCAUUAUCUGGGGUGCGGACAGUGUCUGGUGGGUAGUUUGACUGGGGCGGUCUCCUCCCAAAGAGUAACGGAGGAGCACGAAGGUUGGCUAAGCAUGGUCGGACAUCAUGCGGUUAGUGCAAAGGCAUAAGCCAGCUUGACUGCGAGAGUGACGGCUCGAGCAGGUACGAAAGUAGGUCUUAGUGAUCCGGUGGUUCUGAAUGGAAGGGCCAUCGCUCAACGGAUAAAAGGUACUCCGGGGAUAACAGGCUGAUACCGCCCAAGAGUUCAUAUCGACGGCGGUGUUUGGCACCUCGAUGUCGGCUCAUCACAUCCUGGGGCUGAAGUAGGUCCCAAGGGUACGGCUGUUCGCCGUUUAAAGUGGUACGCGAGCUGGGUUUAGAACGUCGUGAGACAGUUCGGUCCCUAUCUGCCGUGGGCGUUGGAAGAUUGAAAGGGGCUGCUCCUAGUACGAGAGGACCGGAGUGGACGCACCACUGGUGUUCGGGUUGUCAUGCCAAUGGCAUUGCCCGGUAGCUAAGUGCGGAAGAGAUAACCGCUGAAAGCAUCUAAGCGGGAAACUUGCCUUGAGAUGAGUCUUCCCUGACUCUUUAAGGGUCCUAAAGGAACGUUUAAGACUAAGACGUUGAUAGGUUGGGUGUGUAAGCGUAGCGAUACGUUGAGCUAACCAAUACUAAUGAACCGUGAGGCUUAACCUG